rnacentral:rRNA from 1 species
GCGGAGGAAAAGAAACCAACAGGGAUUGCCCCAGUAACGGCGAGUGAAGCGGCAACAGCUCAAAUUUGAAAUCUGGCCCCCAGGGUCCGAGUUGUAAUUUGCAGAGGAUGCUUUUGGCGAGGUGCCUUCCGAGUUCCCUGGAACGGGACGCCAUAGAGGGUGAGAGCCCCGUCUGGUCGGACACCGAGCCUCUGUAAAGCUCCUUCGACGAGUCGAGUAGUUUGGGAAUGCUGCUCAAAAUGGGAGGUAUAUGUCUUCUAAAGCUAAAUAUUGGCCAGAGACCGAUAGCGCACAAGUAGAGUGAUCGAAAGAUGAAAAGCACUUUGAAAAGAGGGUUAAAAAGUACGUGAAAUUGUUGAAAGGGAAGCGCCUAUGACCAGACUUGGGCCCGGUGAAUCAUCCAGCGUUCUCGCUGGUGCACUUUGCCGGGCACAGGCCAGCAUCAGUUUGGCGCGGGGGAAAAAGGUUUCGGGAAUGUGGCUCCCCCGGGAGUGUUAUAGCCCGUUGCGUAAUACCCUGCGCCGGACUGAGGUACGCGCAUUGCAAGGAUGCUGGCGUAAUGGUCAUCAGCGACCCGUCU